rnacentral:rRNA from 1 species
GGGUCAGUAGGUUGGUCGUGCCACCGGUACGUACUGGACUCACUGAUUCCUCCUUCCUGAAGAACCGUAAUGCCAUUAAUUUGGUGUUGCGGGGAAUCAGGACUGUUACUUUGAAAAAAUUAGAGUGUUUAAAGCAAGCUAACGCUUGAAUACAUUAGCAUGGAAUAAUGAAAUAGGACGAUCGAUCCUAUUUUGUUGGUUUCUAGGAUUGACGUA